CCUGAAAACUUUGAAGUAGCUAAGCAAUAGGACGUGAAACACUUAUAUUUGAAGAUUAAACUGGAUUGUUACUUUAAGUUUCAAUCCAAUUUCGUAAUGACCAAGUUCGUUUUUAAGUGUAGUCUCAUUAUUCGAACAUCUCGCAGAACAUGUUUACUUGACUUGCGCACCAGUUGUUCGUCAAAAUGUCCACAUGAACUUCUCAAAACACCAGUGUUUCAAUGAACUUCAUGCUUACAUCUUCAAAUGAUUUUUGCUGAUUUUAGUUUCUUUUAUUUAUUUAUAUACUAUGAGUUCGAGAAACUCUUGGAGUCUUAGAAAGUAGAGUGAAAUGCCUAUGUUUUCCUUGAGUUGUAAUGCCAAAACCAGAAGCUGUAGAUUUCAAUGGAGAAAACUACAGGACCAUGGAAGCUUUAUUUUUACAGGCUUUCGCAAUCUGAAGAUGCACUUUGAUGCCUAUGGAUACUUCUUGACCAGUUGCAUGAUGUCACAUCCAACAAGGUCAAGCUUUGAAGGGCUAACGGGUGAUGCUUUGGUGAAGGUUUUUUCUGGUCCAG